GGUGUUCUCGAGUCAGUUGUUGGUUGGUGGGCGUCUUGGACGUUUCUUGAUGUCCUGGUAGUGUCAUGGGUUUGUGGCUGCACAAGUGUAUCAUCAAGUGUUGUUUAAUGCUGCUAACAUGAAGCGAAUAUGAACUGGUUGCAAGGGGGCUGUGCAGUAUUUGUUCUUGGGAUUCUGCUGGGUACCAGUGACGAGGCAUUGUCGUCGAAAUAAAGUUUAUUACGACAAGCUUGAUAUUCCUGGUACCAGAGUAACAUUUCGACAACACUCAACAUGGCAACUGGUAAACAAGGAGGUUCCAAACCAACCACAAUUCGACCGCGAUGUCAUUGCAGGCGCAGAGGAAGGCAGCUAGGCAACAGAGAGGAACCGCCAGGGCGAAACUAACACGUAAGCUACGAAAGUUUCAUGAGUAUGUAGCAAAUGAAGUGGCAUUUGUAAUUUUGGAAGAAAUUUAUGAGGGGGUUGCAAAGACUUAUGAGGAGGUUGAAGUAGCCAAAGAACACAAUUGCAAUUUGCUAGAUGAAGACAGUGAUGAACUUUUGAUAGAAGCUAAUGAGUACAUCAAAGAGUCAGAGGACAAAAAGUGUGCUGCUCAUGUGAUGUUUGUGAAACUUUAGAAAAAAGUGCAAGUGAAGAAACUUGUGAAGGUAAAGCCAAUUGAUGUACCCAGGUUUCAGGGAGAUGCGAGAGAAUACAGUAAUUUUAAGAGAGACUUUGUUAGAUUGAUGCAGUCGACUUAUGGGAAAGAUUCUUUUGUGCUCAGACAGUGUCUCUCAGGAGAAGCCUUGGAAACAGUUCGUGGCACAGAUCAUGACUUUGAUAAGAUACUUGAACGUUUAGAUGAAAAUUUUGUAAACAGCCGUAGAGUGGUUGAUGUGGUGGUAGAUGACAUAAGGUCAAUUGAGCCUAUACUAGAAGGUGAUAGUGUAAGUUUUAUCAAGAUGGUUGAUAAGACUGAGCAAUGUUUUCUUUAUCUAGACCAAAUGGGCUUAGCUUCAGAGCUGAAUACUGUUAAUAUGACUAGCCAGAUAGAAAAGCUUCUUCCACCUAUUCAGAAGCGUGAAUGGGUUAAGUUGGAGGAAAGUGAUGAGAACCAUGACUUGUUCAAUAAAUUGUUGGAGUAUCUUUUGAGUGAAAAAAAAAAAUUAUGAGAUAUUUAGAUGCCAGUGCUAGAAAAAAAUGAAACACUUAAGUCUAAAGUGAAUUAUGCUAGCAUAAGUGAAAACAAAGGUGGUUCUAAAGAUGAGAAGGAUUCAAAAGUUAUGAAAAGGAUAACAGGACUUGAAAAUGCUAUUGCAAAUAUUUCUGACCUUGUCACUAGACUUACAGAAGAAAAGAGUGGAGUGAAUAGAAAUAAAGGCUACGGUAACACACAGCUGAAUAGAUAUUGGUAUCAUGUGUCAGAUGGGCAUGAUAUAUCAACAGCAUUUUCACGAAAUCUCAACAAUAUUCCCAACAUAGAAUUCAGAAUAUUGGGGCCCUUAGUCAAGAAGCUAUUCAGAGAACUGGGAGAGGUGUUUCCAGAGAUUAGGAUUCUUUAAGGCUGAAGAUGGCACAAUUAUGGUAGGGCAAAGGAUGGAGAACUGGUUAAAGCAUACUUGGAAUCAAGAUAGCGUUAUUCUGUUACUAUGUUACCUAGAAAACAUCCAUUUACAGUCAUGUAUAUUAAUUACUUGUACAGUGGUGAUUAUGCUGGAGUUAAUGUUACAUUAUGUAAAUUAGAAUCAAAGUUUUGGGUUCCUUCAGCACGUAAAAUGAUUAAA